AUUGAACGCUGGCGGCAGGCUUUACACAUGCAAGUCGAACGAGUGGCGGACGGGUGAGUAAUGUCUGGGAAAGUGCCCAGUGGCGGGGGAUAACUACUGGAAAAGGUAGCUAAUACCGCAUACUAUCGGAUGUGCCGAGAUGGGAUUAGCUAGUAGGUGGGGUAACGGCUCACCUAGGCGACGAUCCGUAGCUGGUAUGAGAGGAUGACCAGCCACACUGGAACUGAGACACGGUCCAGACUCCUACGGGAGGCAGCAGUGGGGAAUAUUGCACAAUGGGCGAAAGCCUGAUGCAGCCAUGCCGCGUGUAUGAAGAAGGCCUUCGGGUUGUAAAGUACUUUGGGCAAGGAAGCGUUACUCGCAGAAGAAGCACCGGCUAACUCCGUGCCAGCAGCCGCGGUAAUUC
rnacentral:rRNA from 1 species